rfam:Daphnia pulex DAPPTscaffold_6_Cont413, whole genome shotgun sequence.
CAAUCGGUCCUUUUCAGGGCCACCAUUUAGUAAUGAAAAGAUAAU